GAGUUUCAUCAAUUUUCCAACAAAUUUUGAUAAGCUUUGCUCAACACAAAUUUUUUAUAAGCUUUGUUAGAGUUGACACUAGUGUCAACACUAAUUUUUUAUAAGCUUUGCUAAUGUUGACACUAGUAUUGAUACUAAUAUGUGAUAAGCUUUGUUAGUGUCAACACUAAUUUUUUAUUAGUUUUGCCAGUGUUGGCACUGGUGCUGACACCAGUGUUGACACUAAUUUUUUAUAAGCUUGCUAGUGUAACAUUAAUAUUUGAUAAGCUUUGCUAGUGUGUCACUAAUUUUUGACAAGUUUUGCUAACGUUGACACUAAAUUUUUAUAAGCUUUGCUAGUGUUGACAUUAAUUUUUGAUAAGUUUUGCUAGUGUUGACACUAGUGCAGCGUCGGACAUUAAUUUUUGAUAAGCUUUGCUAGUGUCGACACUAAUUUUGAAAUUUUUUAUUAUUGUUAAGGUAUUGUGAUUUCAGAAAUUUUUUGUAUAAAGUUUAGGAAUUUGGUAAAUUAAAAACAAUUGGAUUUUGAUAGGAAAGUUGAUGCAACAACAGACAGUUUUGCCAAACUUUGAGCCAAAUUUGACUCAUGGUUUGCUUUGCCAUUUUUUGGCAAGGCAUUUGGCUCACCAUUGGAGGAGUGAUUUUGUGAACUCGCCAUUUUUUUGGCUUUGUCAAGGCAUUUGGCACAACCAUUGGAGACAACCAUUGGAGUUGCUCUAAGAGCAUCGCCAAUGGUUGAGUCAAACAACUUGCGAAAGCCAAAAAAUGGCUAGAACUCACAAAAAGCCCUCUCCAAUGGUAAGCCAAAGCUAUUGUCAAAAAAUGGCAAAGCCAAAUUUUAUGCCAAAUUUGGCUCAAGGUUUGGCAAAGCCAUUCCUUGCCAAAUCAACUUUCCUACUAAAAACCGAACUAUUUUUUCAUACCAAAAAUACUAAAAUUACAAAACAUUUUCACAACAAUAAUAGAAAUCAUAAAAAAUUAUGAGUAGUUCUCAAAGCAUUGUCAAGUAAUAAUAAAACUCCAUGCAAAUUAUAAAAAUUGAACUUUGCACAAAUUCCUGAAAAGACACUUAUCAUUGAACUAUUGGCAAUGAUCAAAUAAACCAAAAUAUUUUUGACUGAUUUUUUUUUAAUUUUUUAUCAUGCUUCCAAUAAACAAUUUUGUUUUUUAUGUUUACUCCAAAAUUUCUCCAAAUAAACCAAAAGUUAGUUAGAUUUGGCACUUGAUUAUGCCAAAAUUACAAAUUACCAUUGGAGUGGUAUAGCCAAAAAAUGACUCCGCCAAAGCCAUCUUAGCUUAGACCAUUGGUUUAGGCUUGUGGCAUAGGUUUAACUUUAUAAGAUGGUGUCUGUCUGUCACCUUUCAUUAGUUGCUCAAUGCAUAUUAUUAGUACAUAUGCUGUGCCCCCUUUGUGGCUUAAUGGGUUGCUUUUACCUGUCCAAAAACCAUACGUCUUUUCUUUGUCUUAAAAGUGUUGUUUGAGAAAAUUUUCAAAUUGUUAACAGCAUUACUUUCCCAGGCUACUAUGUACUCAACACUCAAAAGGUUUUCAUUUCCUCUACUAUUUAUUGUGGUGAGAUUGAAAAUUCUAGCAAGUUGGUUGUUACAACAAAUUUCAUACAGUAUGUGGGGAAGCCUUGCCGGAAUCUUAUAUAC